CUUGUGGUGAGUGGGUGCUUGAAGAAAGUGUGGAUCAUAACUGUGCCCUGACAAACCGGAACCUAAUAGGCGUCAUCCUCGGUUGGUGAAGCCAGCAACUGAUCGCAAAGGCUAUCCCAUCAAGAACUGGGGCUAAAUUGGGUAGGGAAAGCGAUCGGCCUUACCC
rfam:Serratia symbiotica str. Tucson genomic scaffold scaffold00210, whole genome shotgun sequence.